GAGGUCAGGCUGAAGACCUUACCCGAUUAGCUGAGAGGUGUGCAUGGCCGUCGUCAGUUCGUACUGUGAAGCAUCCUGUUAAGUCAGGCAACGAGCGAGACCCACGUCCACAGUUGCCAGCAUACCCUCCGGGGUGAUGGGUACACUGUGGAGACCGCCGCUGCUAAAGCGGAGGAAGGAGUGGGCAACGGUAGGUCAGUAUGCCCCGAAUCUCCCGGGCUACACGCGGGCUACAAUGGUUGGUACAAUGGGCAUCUACCCCGAAAGGGGAAGGAAAUCUCUUAAAGCCAAUCGUAGUUCGGAUUGAGGGCUGCAACUCGCCCUCAUGAAGCUGGAAUCCGUAGUAAUCGCGUUUCAACAGAACGCGGUGAAUACGUCCCUGCUCCUU
rnacentral:rRNA from 1 species